GUGCUCACUUCGGCAGCACAUACACUAAAAUUGGAAUGAUACAGAGAAGAUUAGCGUGGCCCGUGCCUGUGCAAGGAUGACACGCAAAUUCAUGAAGCGUUCCAUAUUUUU
rnacentral:snRNA from 1 species